AAAGGGCUGCAGUAUUAUGACUGUACAAAGGUAGCAUAAUCAUUAGUUUUUUAAUUGAAAACUUGUAUGAAAGAUUUGAUGAAAUAUUAACUGUCUCUUAUUUUUUGUUAAAAUUUUAUUUUUUAGUAAAAAAGCUAAAAUAAUUUUAAAAGACGAGAAGACCCUAUAGAGUUUUAUAUUUAAUUUUAUUUUAAAUUUAUAUAAAAAUUAAUAUUAAAAUAAAAUUAAUUAUUAUAUUGGGGUGAUAGAAAAAUUAAAAUAACUUUUUUUAAAUAAUAAACAUAAAUAAAUGAUUAAAUGAUCCAUUAAUAAUGAUUAUAAGAAAAAAUUACCUUAGGGAUAACAGCGUAAUAUUUUUUUUUAGUUCAAAUAAAAAAAAA
rnacentral:rRNA from 1 species